rnacentral:rRNA from 1 species
UACGUAGGGUGCAAGCGUUAAUCGGAAUUACUGGGCGUAAAGCGUGCGCAGGCGGUGAUGUAAGACAGAUGUGAAAUCCCCGGGCUCAACCUGGGAACUGCAUUUGUGACUGCAUCGCUGGAGUGCGGCAGAGGGGGAUGGAAUUCCGCGUGUAGCAGUGAAAUGCGUAGAUAUGCGGAGGAACACCGAUGGCGAAGGCAAUCCCCUGGGCCUGCACUGACGCUGAUGCACGAAAGCGUGGGGAGCAAACAGG